rnacentral:rRNA from 1 species
AAUGAACGCUGGCGGCGCGCCUAAUACAUGCAAGUCGAGCGAGAAGACGUAGCAAUACGUUUGUAAAGCGGCGAACGGGUGAGGAAUACAUGGGUAACCUACCCUCGAGUGGGGAAUAACUAGCCGAAAGGUUAGCUAAUACCGCGUACGCUUCUUGGACUUCGGUUCAGGGAGGAAAGCGAUACCGUGGGUAUCGCGCUCUUGGAUGGGCUCAUGUCCUAUCAGCUUGUUGGUGAGGUAACGGCUCACCAAGGCUUCGACGGGUAGCUGGUCUGAGAGGACGAUCAGCCACACUGGCACUGCGACACGGGCCAGACUCCUACGGGAGGCAGCAGUAAGGAAUAUUGCGCAAUGGGCGAAAGCCUGACGCAGCGACGCCGCGUGGGGGAUGAAGGUCUU